AUGGCAGAAUGACAUGCCCCAUUUGGCCCACUGGAAAUGCCCAUCAUCUUUUGGGAAGAUUUACUGGCUGUUUAUAGAAUGCCUGCCUAUAUAAUAUGAAAAAGCUGCUCUCAAGUUCUCCCACCCAAAACCUUUUAAAAGAAAGCAUUUGCAACAUCCAGCCCUUCUAGAGUAAAGAGGUUGCCGACGUAUGAAGUAGAGUUAGAAAAUCACACACCUUGCAAAUUCUCAUUUGUUUAAAAAGAAGUCAUAGAAAAUGUCUUCUGGAGUUGACUUUUUGAAAUGGAGUUAUUAGACCACUUCUGGAAGCAACACGUCCACGUUUGUUCAGUGGGCUAGAGGACAUGGAGCAGAAGACCUGAGAAGGAAGAGAAGAGGUGCCAGCAGAACAUAUGUCCAAAACUCCCCUUUCUGCCUGAAGUUAGAAGACUACAUGUUGAAAGUUUGCUUUGAGCUUGGUUCUUCUUAAACAUGCAGCUUCAAAUCAAUAUCUGUCUGCUCAUAAGUUCAACCAAACCAGGACUGCCACUGGCUGCUAAAGGGAAGAAAAGGCUCCAUAAAGAAUUCCGGUGUGCCUCCUUCCCCAGCAGCCAUUCUGCUGUUUCUAUGGAAACAUUCACCAGAUAGCAGCAUGCUGUACUGUGCAAGUGAAGAAGAAGGCAUCUUCCUUUCAUCACCACAUCUAGAGUGUGACCACUUCACAGAAUGAAAGAAUGUGGUGAACACAGUUCUUUAUUCUGACAGAUAAAUCGUUCAAGAGAAAGGGGCCAGAUGCCAGUGACAUUUUCUUGGACUUCCUAGCCUCUAGAACCAUGACCCAAAUCAACUUAUAUUGUUUAUAAAUUAC
rnacentral:lncRNA from 1 species